rnacentral:siRNA from 1 species
CAAACCACCCUACAAGCAUGCU